UUGAUGUUGUCUGCCAAAUAACAAAUAGCAUGCGAAGAUCACUUGUUAGACCCUUUUGUUGAGAAUUUCGUACUGGAAAUCAAAGUCCACUUUGGGCACCUGAUGGUGACGGUGGAGCAAGAGACUAUGUGAGAUUGAUAGUGAUACUGAGUCAGAAGUUGAUGACAUUGUUGGUAGCAGCAGUGUUUCAACAGCUUUACCAGACUCCAGUGGGCAAGAUGGUGCAGCUACUGAACCUUGGGAUGAUUCUUCAAAAUCUGACGUUGCGGAGCUUGACACUUCAGUUUUCCUUACUUUUGAUUCGAGAAAUGAAGAACCGUAUGAGAAAGUCGUACAACGAUUGAUAGAUGAAGGAAAACUCAUGGACGCUCUUGCACUUUCUGAUCGCUUACGUAAUGGAGCUUCAGAUCAGUUACUCCUGCUAAUCAUUGAAUGGUUAAUUGACCAACCUCCGUCAAAUCCAGCAGAGAGUAUAAUUAAGUCAGGAACCAAAAUGUGGUCCCGAACUGCAAAAUAGUCUGCGUCCCCACCCAGACCAUUUUCCCUGGGGACAUUAAUGUUGUAACAUGCUCCUGAUCCUUCUCCAAUCAUAGUACAGAAACCGUCAUCAAUAGCUGGAUAAAAGGCUUCCAAACUCAUGCCCGAAAGUAGCACAGCUCCAUACGGUCAUCAUCACUAGAACUUUGAUCUUAUGUGAGA